rnacentral:lncRNA from 1 species
CGGGCAAUCAUUAACCGCCUUUUUCAAGCGUGUUUCGAGAUAGCAUGGUAUCCUUCCAAGGAACUUUAUUGCACUGCUGUGGAGUAACUAAUUCAAAAAUAUCCGCACUUGCGUGACAAUGUGAAGAAAGGCAGUGGCAUGGACAACAAUGACCUCAUCGUUUAUGGGGAGACCCUGGAGUCACGGCAGAAACA